rnacentral:rRNA from 1 species
UACGUAGGGUGCAAGCGUUGUCCGGAAUUAUUGGGCGUAAAGAGCUCGUAGGCGGUUCGUCGCGUCGGCUGUGAAAACCUGAGGCUCAACCUCAGGCCUGCAGUCGAUACGGGCGGACUUGAGUACUGCGAGGGGAGACUGGAAUUCCUGGUGUAGCGGUGAAAUGCGCAGAUAUCAGGAGGAACACCGGUGGCGAAGGCGGGUCUCUGGGCAGUAACUGACGCUGGAGGAGCGAAAGCCGUGGGGAGCGAACAGG